AGACCCGAAACCCGGUGAUCUAGCCAUGGGCAGGUUGAAGGUUGGGUAACACUAACUGGAGGACCGAACCGACUAAUGUUGAAAAAUUAGCGGAUGACCUGUGGCUGGGGGUGAAAGGCCAAUCAAACCGGGAGAUAGCUGGUUCUCCCCGAAAGCUAUUUAGGUAGCGCCUCGUGAAUUCAUCUCCGGGGGUAGAGCACUGUUUCGGCUAGGGGGCCAUCCCGGCUUACCAACCCGAUGCAAACUGCGAAUACCGGAGAAUGUUAUCACGGGAGACACACGGCGGGUGCUAACGUCCGUCGUGAAGAGGGAAACAACCCAGACCGCCAGCUAAGGUCCCAAAGUCAUGGUUAAGUGGGAAACGAUGUGGGAAGGCCCAGACAGCCAGGAUGUUGGCUUAGAAGCAGCCAUCAUUUAAAGAAAGCGUAAUAGCUCACUGGUCGAGUCGGCCUGCGCGGAAGAUGUAACGGGGCUAAACCAUGCACCGAAGCUGCGGCAGCGACGCUGAUGCGUUGUUGGGUAGGGGAGCGUUCUGUAAGCCUGCGAAGGUGGCCUGUGAGGGUUGCUGG
rnacentral:rRNA from 1 species